GUCAAACGGAUCCGGAUCCGUCUGAAAAAUGCAUUGAAAUACAGGAUCAGUCUCUCCAGUGUCAGCCGGAAAAACGGAUUCCGGUAUUAUUUUUUUCACAUUUUUAAAGGUCUGCCCAUGCGCAGACUGGAA